GCUGGGUGCUGUGGCGAGCGCCUGUAGUCCCAGCUACUAGGGAGGCUGAGGCAGGAGAAUCACUUGAACCUGGGAGGCUGAGGCUGCAGUGAGCUGAGAUCACACUAUUGCACUCCAGCCUGGGCUACAGAGUGAGACCCUGUCUCCA
rnacentral:SRP_RNA from 2 species